rnacentral:rRNA from 1 species
AGUGGGGAAUAUUGGACAAUGGGCGCAAGCCUGAUCCAGCCAUGCCGCGUGUGUGAAGAAGGCCUUUUGGUUGUAAAGCACUUUAAGCGAGGAGGAGGCUCCUUUAGUUAAUACCUAAAGAGAGUGGACGUUACUCGCAGAAUAAGCACCGGCUAACUCUGUGCCAGCAGCCGCGGUAAUACAGAGGGUGCGAGCGUUAAUCGGAUUUACUGGGCGUAAAGCGUGCGUAGGCGGCUUUUUAAGUCGGAUGUGAAAUCCCUGAGCUUAACUUAGGAAUUGCAUUCGAUACUGGAAAGCUAGAGUAUGGGAGAGGAUGGUAGAAUUCCAGGUGUAGCGGUGAAAUGCGUAGAGAUCUGGAGGAAUACCGAUGGCGAAGGCAGCCAUCUGGCCUAAUACUGACGCUGAGGUACGAAAGCAUGGGGAGCAAA